rnacentral:tRNA from 1 species
AUCUAAAUAGUUUAUAAAAAAAAUAUUAACUUGUGGCGUUAAUGAAGCAUAGUUUGUUUUAGAUA